rnacentral:rRNA from 1 species
CACGUAGGGUGCGAGCGUUGUCCGGAAUUAUUGGGCGUAAAGAGCUCGUAGGCGGUGUGUCGCGUCGGCCGUGAAAACCUGGGGCUUAACUCUGGGCGUGCGGUCGAUACGGGCAUCACUGGAGUUCGGCAGGGGAGACUGGAAUUCUCGGUGUAGCGGUGAAAUGCGUAGAUAUCGAGAGGAACACCUGCGGCGAAGGCGGGUUGCUGGGCUGAUACUGACGCUGAGGCGCGAAAGCCAGGGGAGCGAACGGG